rnacentral:rRNA from 1 species
UACUGCUCUGAGCAUAUACAAUCUUGUCUAAUUCCAUAAGCUAAGCAGGGUCAGCCCUGGUUGGUCCUUGGAAGAGGGACCACCUGAAAAUACCAGGGC